GAUGAACGCUGGCGGCGUGCCUAAUACAUGCAAGUCGAGCGAACGGACGAGAAUCUUGCUUCUCUGAUGUUAGCGACGGACGGGUGAGUAACACGUGGAUAACCUACCUAUAAGACUGGGAUAACUUCGGGCAACCGGAGCUAAUACCGGAUAAUAUUUUGAACCGCAUGGUUCAAUAGUGAAAGACUGUCUUGCUGUCACUUAUAGAGGUUUCCGCGCUGCAUUAGCUGGUUGGUAAGGUAACGGCUUACCACGUCAACGAGGCAUAGCCGACCUGAGAGGGGGAUCGGCCACACUGGAACUGGAAGACGGGCCAGACUCCGACGGGAGGCAGCAGCAGGGAAUCUCCGGCAAUGGGCGAAAGGAUGACGGAGCAACGCCGCGUAAGUUGUGAAGGUCUUCGGAUCGUAAAACACUGUGAUUAGGGAAGAACAAAUGCGUAAGUAACUGUGGAAGUAUUGACGGUACCUAAUGAGAAAGCCACGGCUAACUACGUG
rnacentral:rRNA from 1 species